GAAAGACUGUACUAGCAUUGAUGAUUCAGGUUUCAUGGCACUUGCUUAUUACUCUAGGAAUUUGCAACAGAUUAAUCUGAGUCAUUGUGCAAUCUCGGAUGUGGGCCUGUGCAUGGUGAUGGGGAACUUGACACGGUUGCAGGAUGCCAAGCUCGUAAACCUUCACAACGUGUCAACCAAUGGCUUUGAGGUUGCUCUUCGGGCUUCCGGUGUUCGGCUGAAAAAAGUUAAGUUGAUUGCCUCCCUAAGACUACAUCUUACGCCGGACAUAGUUAAGACAUUGAGGGCAAGAGGUUGCAGGAUUAGGUGGGAUUAAGGUACAAUAUUCCAGCAGUACAUGCCAAUGUGUGUUACUAUACCCCCCACUUACAUGAAUACCAAUACAUUUGAGCUGUUCAACCUACAACUUCUCCCAUCAUAUCAGUAAGCAGAAAUUUCCCAUCAUAUUGUUUU
rnacentral:misc_RNA from 1 species